rnacentral:rRNA from 1 species
CAUAACUUUUUCAUUACUUUGAAAAGAAACCCCUCAGAUCUCGGAAGCAAAGCAGGGUCGGGCCUGGUUAGUACUUGGAUGGGAGACCACCUGGGAAUACCGGGUGCCGUAGGC